GCACAAGCAGCGGAGCGUGUGGUUUAAUUCGAUGUUACACGAAGAACUUACCUGGGAUUGACAUGGAGGUGGUAGGGAAGCGAAAGCGGACCGACUCUUCGGAGAGCCUUCACAGGUGCUGCAUGGCUGUCGUCAGCUCGUGCCGUGAGGUGUCGGGUUAAGUCCCGUAACGAGCGCAACCCUUGCCCUUAGUUACAAGUGUCUAGGGGGACUGCCGGCGGGAAGCCGGAGGAAGGUGGGAUGACGUCAAGUCAGCAUGGCCCUUAUAUCCAGGGCUACACACACGCUACAAUGGUCGGUACAAAGGGCAGCGAAGCCGCGAGGUGGAGCGAAUCCCAGCAAAGCCGACCGUAGUACGGAUAGCAGGCUGCAACUCGCCUGCUUGAAGCUGGAGUUGCUAGUAACCGCGCGUCAGCAUAGUGCGGUGAAUACGUUCCCGGGGCUU
rnacentral:rRNA from 1 species